AAUCCAUAGGUUAAUGAGGCGAACCGGGGGAACUGAAACAUCUAAGUACCCCGAGGAAAAGAAAUCAACCGAGAUUCCCCCAGUAGCGGCGAGCGAACGGGGAGGAGCCCAGAGCCUGAAUCAGCAUGUGUGUUAGUGGAAGCGUCUGGAAAGGCGCGCGAUACAGGGUGACAGCCCCGUACACAAAAGCGCAUGUGCUGUGAGCUCGAUGAGUAGGGCGGGACACGUGGUAUCCUGUCUGAAUAUGGGGGGACCAUCCUCCAAGGCUAAAUACUCCUGACUGACCGAUAGUGAACCAGUACCGUGAGGGAAAGGCGAAAAGAACCCCGGCGAGGGGAGUGAAAAAGAACCUGAAACCGUGUACGUACAAGCAGUGGGAGCACAGGUUUACCUGUGUGACUGCGUACCUUUUGUAUAAUGGGUCAGCGACUUAUAUUCUGUAGCAAGGUUAACCGAAUAGGGGAGCCGGAGGGAAACCGAGUCUUAAUUGGGCGUUAAGUUGCAGGGUAUAGACCCGAAACCCGGUGAUCUAGCCAUGGGCAGGUUGAAGGUUGGGUAACACUAACUGGAGGACCGAACCGACUAAUGUUGAAAAAUUAGCGGAUGACCUGUGGCUGGGGGUGAAAGGCCAAUCAAACCGGGAGAUAGCUGGUUCUCCCCGAAAGCU
rnacentral:rRNA from 7 species